GACGAACGCUGGCGGCGCGCUUAACACAUGCAAGUCGAACGGAAAGGCCUGCUUUCCCUUGUGGAUUGCGGGUACUCGAGUGGCGAACGGGUGAGUAACACGUGAGUGAUCUGCCCCCAACUUGGGUAUAAGCCUGGGACACUGGGUCUAAUUCCCGAUAGGACUGCAGGGUGGUGCCUGUGGUGGAAAACGAUUUUCUAGUGGUUGGGGAUGAGCUCGCGGCCUAUCAGCUUGUUGGUGGGGUACUGGCCUACCAAGGCGGCGACGGGUAGCCGGCCUGAGAGGGUGGACGGCCACAUUGGGACUGAGAUACGGCCCAGACUCCUACGGGAGGCAGCAGUGGGGAAUAUUGCACAAGGGGCGGAAGCCUGAGGCAGCGACGCCGCGUGGGGGAUGACGGCCUUCGGGUUGUAAACUCCUUUCGACCGCGAGGAAGCCACCUGGUUGGAAGGGUGGUGACGGUAGUGGUAGAAGAAGCACCGGCUAACUACGUG
rnacentral:rRNA from 1 species